UACGAAGGGGGCUAGCGUUGCUCGGAAUUACUGGGCGUAAAGCGCACGUAGGCGGAUUGUUAAGUCGGGGGUGAAAUCCUGGAGCUCAACUCCAGAACUGCCUUCGAUACUGGCGAUCUAGAGUCCGGGAGAGGUGAGUGGAACUGCGAGUGUAGAGGUGAAAUUCGUAGAUAAUAGGAAGAACACCGGUGGCGAAGGCGGCAUCCUGGACCGGUAUUGACGCUGAGGCGCGAAAGCCAGGGGAGCAAACGGG
rnacentral:rRNA from 1 species